UAACGCGUGAGGAACCUGCCUCAAAGAGGGGGACAACAGUUGGAAACGACUGCUAAUACCGCAUAAGCCCACGACCCGGCAUCGGGUAGAGGGAAAAGGAGCAAUCCGCUUUGAGAUGGCCUCGCGUCCGAUUAGCUAGUUGGUGAGGUAAUGGCCCACCAAGGCGACGAUCGGUAGCCGGACUGAGAGGUUGAACGGCCACAUUGGGACUGAGACACGGCCCAGACUCCUACGGGAGGCAGCAGUGGGGAAUAUUGCACAAUGGGGGAAACCCUGGUGCAGCGACGCCGCGUGGAGGAAGAAGGUCUUCGGAUUGUAAACUCCUGUUGUUGAGGAAGAUAAUGACGNUACUCAACAAGGAAGUGACGGCUAACUACGUGCCAGCAGCCGCGGUAAAACGUAGGUCACAAGCGUUGUCCGGAAUUACUGGGUGUAAAGGGAGCGCAGGCGGGAAGACAAGUUGGAAGUGAAAUCCAUGGGCUCAACCCAUGAACUGCUUUCAAAACUGUUUUUCUUGAGUAGUGCAGAGGUAGGCGGAAUUCCCGGUGUAGCGGUGGAAUGCGUAGAUAUCGGGAGGAACACCAGUGGCGAAGGCGGCCUACUGGGCACCAACUGACGCUGAGGCUCGAAAGUGUGGGUAGCAAACAGGAUUAGAUACCCUGGUAGUCCACACUGUAAACGAUGAUUACUAGGUG
rnacentral:rRNA from 1 species